GACGAACGCUGGCGGCGUGCUUAACACAUGCAAGUCGAACGAUGAACCCGGAGCUUGCUCCGGUGGAUUAGUGGCGAACGGGUGAGUAACACGUGAGUAACCUGCCCUUGACUCUGGGAUAACUGCGGGAAACUGUAGCUAAUACCGGAUAUGACCUCCUUGGGCAUCCUUGGAGGUGGAAAGUUUUUCGGUGAGGGAUGGGCCCGCGGCCUAUCAGCUUGUUGGUGAGGUAGUGGCUCACCAAGGCGACGACGGGUAGCCGGCCUGAGAGGGCGACCGGCCACACUGGGACUGAGACACGGCCCAGACUCCUACGGGAGGCAGCAGUGGGGAAUAUUGCGCAAUGGGCGAAAGCCUGACGCAGCAACGCCGCGUGCGGGAUGACGGCCUUCGGGUUGUAAACCGCUUUCAGCAGGGAAGAAGCCGCAAGGUGACGGUACCUGCAGAAGAAGCACCGGCUAACUACGUGCCAGCAGCCGCCGUAA
rnacentral:rRNA from 1 species